CAAAUGAGAAGGGGUUGAUAGCACUAGAUUGUCUACUCCUAGUAAAGAUGUAGAAAAUUAUAGUGGUUGUGGGCCGUCUAUUAAUUGCAGAAAGUCUCGUAACUAUAGAAUAGCGUGAUUUUAGAUGUCCGUUGCCUUCUGUGCUCUGUUGUGGGGUUACUUUGUAGGAAUUUUGCUUUGAUGACCAUGGACAUGUGGUACUUUAGGAAUUUCAGCAGGAAAAUUAAGAGAUGCUUUGAUUCAAGAGGCAAAAUAUGGGUCCAUUAACUCAGUUUCAGUUAAAUCUUUCAGUUCAGUUUCUUCCCCAACAUUAUCGUCUUUUUUUGGCUUUAAAGAGAUGCUCCAGCAUCAAGCAAUGUACAUAUGUAUGUAGCAGUCAUGUUGGCUUCCGUGAUCAAUUCUUCUUGCGUUGAUGUGUCUUUUCACGACACAAUUGGAACAUGCUGAUCAACUUGCUGCUGCUGGAAGUCUCCAUCCUAUUACCUCAUCCUGGUAUCUACUUCUGGAUCGAUGGCCAUUUGAACCUCUAGCUUUGUUCCAAGAGAUACACAUUCAGUUAUUAAGAUAUGUACUCGGUAAAUUUGUUAUUAUCAUGUGCAGCCAGCAUCUAGACUUUUAAGUUAUGUAAUUAUAAGCUUAGGUGAAUUUAGAUCUGCAACUCACUCCGCCUAGUGAAUUUGAAAAAGAAAUUUGAGUGUGUGGUGGAACCCUUUCCUUGCUGUGUGGGAGGAACCUUUCUGAAUUUGUCAUAUUGAGCAAAAUUUUAAAAACGCUGAGUGCUGAAUCUCUCUUUCAUCCAACGUUUAGUAAAUUUACUGUCUUGCUUGAAAUAUCAAUUGGGAAGAGUCAAUCCGUUCAAGUGAGAAUAUUAUACCCCAUCAAAUGAUGGUAGUAAUUCUCAUAUAUUGUGUUUUUAUGGUUAGUCAAGAAGUACUAAUGGUGGAUCCAUUACAUUAUUUGGUUAGUUUUGUCUUCGGAUGGUUUUAUUGUGCUGCUGUCCUUCAGGAGGAGUAGCUUCUGAGAGGAUUCACACUUAAAUGAUGCUAGUAAUUCCCAUGUAUUGUGUUUAAUGAUUGAUCCAAGAAGUUUUAAUG